rnacentral:rRNA from 1 species
CAACCCUGAUCCAGCCAUGCCGCGUGGGUGAAGAAGGCCUUAGGGUUGUAAAACCCUUUCGGCGGGGAAGAUGAUGACGGUACCCGCAGAAGAAGCCCCGGCUAACUCCGUGCCAGCAGCCGCGGUAAUACGGAGGGGGCAAGCGUUGUUCGGAAUUACUGGGCGUAAAGGGCGUGUAGGCGGUUUGCUAGGUCAGGCGUGAAAGCCCCGGGCUCAACCUGGGAUGUGCGUUUGAAACUGGCAGGCUAGAGGUUGGAAGAGGAGAGUGGAAUUCCCAGUGUAGAGGUGAAAUUCGUAGAUAUUGGGAAGAACACCGGUGGCGAAGGCGGCUCUCUGGUCCACACCUGACGCUGAGGCGCGAAAGCGUGGGGAGCAAACAGGAUUAGAUACCCUGGUAGUCCACGCUGUAAACGAUGUGUGCUAGACGUUGGAUGUUCAGCAUUCGGUGUCGUCGCUAACGCAUUAAGCACACCGCCUGGGGAGUACGGCCGCAAGGUUAA